GACGAACGCUGGCGGCGUGCUUAACACAUGCGAGUCGAACGGAAAGGCCCUGCUUUUGUGGGGUGCUCGAGUGGCGAACGGGUGAGUAACACGUGAGUAACCUGCCCUUGACUUUGGGAUAACUUCAGGAAACUGGGGCUAAUACCGGAUAGGAGCUCCUGCUGCAUGGUGGGGGUUGGAAAGUUUCGGCGGUUGGGGAUGGACUCGCGGCUUAUCAGCUUGUUGGUGGGGUAGUGGCUUACCAAGGCUUUGACGGGUAGCCGGCCUGAGAGGGUGACCGGCCAGAUUGGGACUGAGAUACGGCCCAGACUCCUACGGGAGGCAGCAGUGGGGAAUAUUGCACAAUGGGCGGAAGCCUGAUGCAGCAACGCCGCGUGCGGGAUGACGGCCUUCGGGUUGUAAACCGCUUUCGCCUGUGACGAAGCGUGAGUGACGGUAAUGGGUAAAGAAGCACCGGCUAACUACGUG
rnacentral:rRNA from 1 species